CCAAUAGCGUAUAUUAAAGUUGUUGCAGUUAAAAAGCUCGUAGUUGAACUUCGGGGUCUACCCAUUGGUCAGGCUUAAUUGUCUGCACUGGUGAGAUGGAUCUCUACCUUCUGAGGAACUUUCAUGCCAUUUAUUUGGUGUGGUUGGAAAUCAGGACUGUUACUUUGAAAAAAUUAGAGUGUUUAAAGCAGACUAUCGUCUGAAUACAUUAGCAUGGAAUAAUGAAAUAGGACGGACUGAUUCUAUUUCGUUGGUUUCUAGGAUCACCGUAAUGAUUAAUAGGGAUAGUUGGGGGCAUUAGUAUUCAAUUGUCAGAGGUGAAAUUCUUGGAUUUAUUGAAGACUAACUACUGCGAAAGCAUUCGCCAAGGAUGUUUUCAUUAAUCAAGAACGAAAGUUAGGGGAUCGAAGACGAUCAGAUACCGUCGUAGUCUUAACCAUAAACUAUGCCGACUAGGGAUCGGACGAAGUUAAUUUUAUAAUGACGCGUUCGGCACCUUACG
rnacentral:rRNA from 1 species